rnacentral:rRNA from 1 species
CCUACGGGAGGCAGCAGUGGGGAAUAUUGGGCAAUGGGCGCAAGCCUGACCCAGCAACGCCGCGUGAAGGAAGAAGGCUUUCGGGUUGUAAACUUCUUUUGUCAGGGACGAAGCAAGUGACGGUACCUGACGAAUAAGCCACGGCUAACUACGUGCCAGCAGCCGCGGUAAUACGUAGGUGGCAAGCGUUAUCCGGAUUUACUGGGUGUAAAGGGCGUGUAGGCGGGGAAGCAAGUCAGAUGUGAAAACCACGGGCUCAACCUGUGGCCUGCAUUUGAAACUGUUGUUCUUGAGUACUGGAGAGGCAGACGGAAUUACUAGAGUAGCGGUGAAAUGCGUAGAUAUUAGGAGGGACACCAGUGGCGAAGGCGGUCUGCUGGACAGCAACUGACGCUGAGGCGCGAAAGCGUGGGGAGCAAACAGGAUUAGAUACCCGUGUAGUC